rnacentral:lncRNA from 1 species
GGGCGUAGGAAGCAGAGGAAGGCUGGCUCCAUUUCUGGGUUAUUUACCGACAGAGCAAGUAAAUGCAGAUUUUCUGAUGCCAAGAGAAAACCUGUGGAAAGAAGCAAAAGCCCAGAUUUUCCCAUCUGAGUUUGAUUAUAUUUUCCUUUGUGUGUUUCUUAAGGGAGGAAGCAAGGAGGAGGAGGAGACCAGAAAAUUUGAAGGUUCGGUCUGAUCGACCUAUCAGGCCAAGGACCAGGCUGGAAACCCUACGCUCAGCUGAUGGAGCCCAGCAACCUGGCAGCUGUAGAGCACUUGCCUCCCAACACCUCUCUCACCCUAGAGGACCACGAAUGCUGCGGAAGCCAGAGCAAGAGCUGGAAGCCCGAAGUGGGCUGGCCAAAGGAGAACUUCCGGUUCCUGGCCUGGCCCAGCCCUUUCCUGCCCCAGGCAGCUUAGCUGACCUAGACCUGGUUACCAGCAGGUGUGAAGUCUGCCCCGCAGCAACCUGUCUUCACAUCCUACACUUUCAUGUCACUCCCUAACUCCUGGCUCCUCCAUCCCAGAAUACCCCUGUGUGAAUUGUCAAGUCUAUUAGUAUAUGAUAUUAAAGAGUUUGCAAUAAAUUAUUUAUGCUGAUUAAAAAAAGAAUGCUA